UGAACGCUGGCGGCGUGCCUAAUACAUGCAAGUCGAGCGAACGGACGAGAAGCUUGCUUUUCUGAUGUUAGCGGCGGACGGGUGAGUAACACGUGGAUAACCUACCUAUAAGACUGGGAUAACUUCGGGAAACCGGAGCUAAUACCGGAUAAUAUUUUGAACCGCAUGGUUCAAAAGUGAAAGACGGUCUUGCUGUCACUUAUAGAUGGAUCCGCGCUGCAUUAGCUAGUUGGUAAGGUAACGGCUUACCAAGGCAACGAUGCAUAGCCGACCUGAGAGGGUGAUCGGCCACACUGGAACUGAGACACGGUCCAGACUCCUACGGGAGGCAGCAGUAGGGAAUCUUCCGCAAAGGGCGAAAGCCUGACGGAGCAACGCCGCGUGAGUGAUGAAGGUCUUCGGAUCGUAAAACUCUGUUAUUAGGGAAGAACAUAUGUGUAAGUAACUGUGCACAUCUUGACGGUACCUAAUCAGAAAGCCACGGCUAACUACGUG
rnacentral:rRNA from 1 species